rnacentral:misc_RNA from 1 species
GUUUCAAGAUCAGGCCUUCCUAUAAUUGUUCCUAGGAAUCCAGAUUUGUUGACUGGAAGUGUAGAGCGGUGUCCGGCACCAAGUUAUGAGAUCCUUAAGUUUCUGAUGAGAAGGUGGUCAUGGCCGUGAAAAGCAUGAGACGAGCUUUUUCGCAAAACGGACUUUCAAACAAUUUUUCGAGCAAUUUAUCACUCUUAAGAGGGCU